rnacentral:lncRNA from 1 species
UCUCGUUUAAAUACACUUUGCUUGUUAUUACAUAAAAUAAUUCAUGGAAAUUAUACACCAGACGUAUGUCGUGUUAAAUGUCACCCUGUUUUAAGAAAAGAAUAAUUACUUUAUGCCGAGAAAUCUGCCUUUCUUCGUACAAAUGCUAACAUUCGUCUGAAAUUUCCCACAAUGCAACUCGUUGAUAUAAGACAAUAUCGCUCGUUG